AUGAACGCUAGCUACAGGCUUAACACAUGCAAGUCGAGGGGCAGCAUGAACUUAGCUUGCUAAGUUUGAUGGCGACCGGCGCACGGGUGAGUAACACGUAUCCAACCUGCCGAUGACUCGGGGAUAGCCUUUCGAAAGAAAGAUUAAUACCCGAUGGCAUAGUUCUUCCGCAUGGUAGAACUAUUAAAGAAUUUCGGUCAUCGAUGGGGAUGCGUUCCAUUAGGUUGUUGGCGGGGUAACGGCCCACCAAGCCUUCGAUGGAUAGGGGUUCUGAGAGGAAGGUCCCCCACAUUGGAACUGAGACACGGUCCAAACUCCUACGGGAGGCAGCAGUGAGGAAUAUUGGUCAAUGGACGAGAGUCUGAACCAGCCAAGUAGCGUGAAGGAUGACUGCCCUAUGGGUUGUAAACUUCUUUUAUACGGGAAUAAAGUGAGGCACGUGUGCCUUUUUGUAUGUACCGUAUGAAUAAGGAUCGGCUAACUCCGUGCCAGCAGCCGCGGUAAUACGGAGGAUCCGAGCGUUAUCCGGAUUUAUUGGGUUUAAAGGGAGCGUAGGCGGACGCUUAAGUCAGUUGUGAAAGUUUGCGGCUCAACCGUAAAAUUGCAGUUGAUACUGGGUGUCUUGAGUACAGUAGAGGCAGGCGGAAUUCGUGGUGUAGCGGUGAAAUGCUUAGAUAUCACGAAGAACUCCGAUUGCGAAGGCAGCUUGCUGGACUGUAACUGACGCUGAUGCUCGAAAGUGUGGGUAUCAAACAGGAUUAGAUACCCUGGUAGUCCACACCGUAAACGAUGGAUACUAGGUGUAGGAGAUAUUAAGUCUUCUGUGCCGUCGCAAACGCAAUAAGUAUCCCACCUGGGGAGUACGGCCGCAAGGUUGAAACUCAAAGGAAUUGACGGGGGCCCGCACAAGCGGAGGAACAUGUGGUUUAAUUCGAUGAUACGCGAGGAACCUUACCCGGGCUUGAAUUGCAACUGAAUGAUGUGGAGACAUGUCAGCCGCAAGGCAGUUGUGAAGGUGCUGCAUGGUUGUCGUCAGCUCGUGUCGUGAGAUGUUGGGUUAAGUCCCGCAACGAGCGCAACCCUUAUGGUCAGUUACUACGCAAGAGGACUCUGGCCAGACUGCCGUUGACAAAACGGAGGAAGGUGGGGAUGACGUCAAAUCAUCAUGCCCCUUAUGACCAGGGCUACACACGUGCUACAAUGGACAGAGCAGAGGGAAGCGAAGCCGCGAGGCAGAGCAAACCCCAGAAACCCGAUCUCAGUUCGGAUCGCAGGCUGCAACCCGCCUGCGUGAAGUCGGAAUCGCUAGUAAUCGCAGGUCAGCAUACUGCGGUGAAUACGUUCCCGGGCCUUGUACACACCGCCCGUCACACCAUGAGAGUUGGGGAUACCCGAAGCCUGUGAGCCAACAGUUAAAUGGGGCAGCAGUCGAAGGUAGAAUCAAUGAUUGGGGUG
rnacentral:rRNA from 1 species